rnacentral:rRNA from 1 species
GGCUCAGGACGAACGCUGGCGGCGUGCUUAACACAUGCAAGUCGAACGGUGACGACGGGGCUUGCCCUGUCUGAUCAGUGGCGAACGGGUGAGUAACACGUGAGUAACCUGCCCUUGACUCUGGGAUAACCGCGGGAAACGGCGGCUAAUACCGGAUAUGAGACGUACAGGCAUCUGUUGCGUCUGGAAAGAUUUAUCGGUCAAGGAUGGGCUCGCGGCCUAUCAGCUUGUUGGUGGGGUGAAGGCCUACCAAGGCGACGACGGGUAGCCGGCCUGAGAGGGCGACCGGCCACACUGGGACUGAGACACGGCCCAGACUCCUACGGGAGGCAGCAGUGGGGAAUAUUGCACAAUGGGCGCAAGCCUGAUGCAGCGACGCCGCGUGAGGGAUGAAGGCCUUCGGGUUGUAAACCUCUUUCAGCAGGGAAGAAGC